GGGGGCAACCCCUUGAGAGUGGCGAACGGGUGAGUAAUAUAUCGGAACGUGCCCAGUCGUGGGGGAUAACGUAGUGAAAAUUACGCUAAUACCGCAUACGAUCUAAGGAUGAAAGCGGGGGAUCGCAAGACCUCGCGCGACUGGAGCGGCCGAUAUCAGAUUAGGUAGUUGGUAGGGUAAAGGCCUACCAAGCCAACGAUCUGUAGCUGGUCUGAGAGGACGACCAGCCACACUGGAACUGAGACACGGUCCAGACUCCUACGGGAGGCAGCAGUGGGGAAUUUUGGACAAUGGGCGAAAGCCUGAUCCAGCCAUUCCGCGUGCAGGAUGAAGGCCCUCGGGUUGUAAACUGCUUUUGUACAGAACGAAAAGGUUUCUAUUAAUACUAGGAGCUCAUGACGGUACUGUAAGAAUAAGCACCGGCUAACUACGUGCCAGCAGCCGCGGUAAUACGUAGGGUGCAAGCGUUAAUCGGAAUUACUGGGCGUAAAGCGUGCGCAGGCGGUUAUAUAAGUCAGAUGUGAAAUCCCCGGGCUCAACCUGGGAACUGCAUUUGAGACUGUAUAGCUAGAGUACGGUAGAGGGGGAUGGAAUUCCGCGUGUAGCAGUGAAAUGCGUAGAUAUGCGGAGGAACACCGAUGGCGAAGGCAAUCCCCUGGACCUGUACUGACGCUCAUGCACGAAAGCGUGGGGAGCAAACAGGAUUAGAUACCCUGGUAGUCCACGCCCUAAACGAUGUCGACUGGUUGUUGGGUCUUAACUGACUCAGUAACGAAGCUAACGCGUGAAGUUGACCGCCUG
rnacentral:rRNA from 1 species